AUUGAACGCUGGCGGCAGGCCUAACACAUGCAAGUCGAACGAGUGGCGGACGGGUGAGUAAUGUCUGGGAAACUGCUUGAUGGAGGGGGAUAACUACUGGAAACGGUAGCUAUUACCGAAUACCAUCAGAUGUGCCCAGAUGGGAUUAGCUUGUUGGUGGGGUAACGGCUAAACAAGGCGACGGUCACUAGCUGGCCUGAGAGGAUGACCCGCCACACUGGAACUGUGACACGGUCCAGACUCCUACGGGAGGCAGCAUUGGGGAAUAUUGCACAAGGGGCGCAAUCCGGACGCAGCAAUGCCGAGUGUAUGAAGAAGGCCUUCGGGUUUUAAAGUACUUUCAGCGGGGAGGCGUUACCCGCAGAAGAAGCACCGGCUAACUCCGUGCCAGCAGCCGCGGUAAUUC
rnacentral:rRNA from 1 species